AUUGAACGCUGGCGGCAUGCCUUACACAUGCAAGUCGAACGGCAGCACGGGAGCAAUCCUGGUGGCGAGUGGCGAACGGGUGAGUAAAGUAUCGGAACGUGCCCAGUCGUGGGGGAUAACGUAGCGAAAGUUACGCUAAUACCGCAUACGAUCUUUGGAUGAAAGCGGGGGAUCGCAAGACCUCGCGCGAUUGGAGCGGCCGAUAUCAGAUUAGGUAGUUGGUGGGGUAAAGGCUCACCAAGCCGACGAUCUGUAGCUGGUCUGAGAGGACGACCAGCCACACUGGGAGUGAGACACGGCCCAGACUCCUACGGGGGGCAGCAGUGGGUAAUUUGGACAAUGGGCGCAAGCCUGAUCCAGCAAUGCCGCGUGCAGGACGAAGGCCUUCGGGUUGUAAACUGCUUUUGUACGGAACGAAAAGGUUUGGCCUAAUAAGCUGAGCUCAUGACGGUACCGUAAGAAUAAGCACCGGCUAACUACGUGCCAGCCGCCGCCGUAA
rnacentral:rRNA from 1 species